GAUGAACGCUAGCGGCAGGCUUAACACAUGCAAGUCGAGGGGCAGCACGGGUAGCAAUAGUCUGGUGGCGACCGGCGCAAGGGUGCGUAACGCGUGAGCAACAUGCCCGUAUCAGGGGGAUAAUCCAGGGAAACUUGGUCUAAUACCCCAUAGCAAUUAUUUGAGGCAUCUUAAAUAAUUUAAAGCUUUGGUGGAUACGGAUUGGCUCGCGUGACAUUAGCUAGAUGGUAAGGUAACGGCUUACCAUGGCUACGAUGUCUAGGGGUUCUGAGAGGAAGAUCCCCCACACUGGAACUGAGACACGGUCCAGACUCCUACGGGAGGCAGCAGUGAGGAAUAUUGGACAAUGGAUGGAAAUCUGAUCCAGCCAUGCCGCGUGCAGGAAGACGGCCCUAUGGGUUGUAAACUGCUUUUGUAUGGGAGCAAUAAGGUCUAUGCGUAGACUCGAUGAGAGUACCAUACGAAUAAGCAUCGGCUAACUCCGUGCCAGCAGCCGCGGUAAUACGGGGGAUGCAAGCGUUAUCCGGAUUUAUUGGGUUUAAAGGGUGCGUAGGCGGUUUGCAUAAGUCAGCGGUGAAAUAUUUCAGCCUUAACUGAAAGGGUGCCGUUGAUACUGUCUAGGCUUGAAUAUGGUUGCUGUGGGUGGAAUGUGUGGUGUAGCGGUGAAAUGCUUAGAUAUCACACAGAAUAUCGAUUGCGAAGGCAGCUCACAAAGCCAUUAUUGACGCUGAUGCACGAAAGUGUGGGGAUCAAACAGGAUUAGAUACCCUGGGUAGUCCACACUGUAAACGAUGAUAACUCGCUGUCGGCGAUA
rnacentral:rRNA from 1 species